UACGUAUGUCGCAAGCGUUAUCCGGAUUUAUUGGGCGUAAAGCGCGUCUAGGCGGAAAGAUAAGUCUGAUGUGAAAAUGCGGGGCUCAACUCCGUAUUGCGUUGGAAACUGUCUUUCUAGAGUACUGGAGAGGUGGGCGGAACUACAAGUGUAGAGGUGAAAUUCGUAGAUAUUUGUAGGAAUGCCGAUGGAGAAGGCAGCUCACUGGACAGAUACUGACGCUGAAGCGCGAAAGCGUGGGGAGCAAACAGG
rnacentral:rRNA from 1 species